CCUACGGGUGGCAGCAGUGAGGAAUAUUGGUCAAUGGCCGAGAGGCUGAACCAGCCAAGUCGCGUGAGGGAAGACGGCCCUACGGGUUGUAAACCUCUUUUGUCGGGGAGCAAAGAGAGUCACGUGUGACUCAUUGAGAGUACCCGAAGAAAAAGCAUCGGCUAACUCCGUGCCAGCAGCCGCGGUAAUACGGAGGAUGCGAGCGUUAUCCGGAUUUAUUGGGUUUAAAGGGUGCGCAGGCGGAGGAGCAAGUCAGCGGUAAAAUUGAGGGGCUCAACCCCGUACUGCCGUUGAAACUGCAUCCCUUGAGUGAGUGAGAAGUAUGCGGAAUGCGUGGUGUAGCGGUGAAAUGCAUAGAUAUCACGCAGAACUCCGAUUGCGAAGGCAGCAUACCGGCGCGCAACUGACGCUCAUGCACGAAAGCGUGGGUAUCGAACAGGAUUAGAUACCCUGGUAGUC
rnacentral:rRNA from 1 species